rnacentral:rRNA from 1 species
AGGUGCGAUCAUACCAGCACUAAUGCACCGGAUCCCAUCAGAAUUCUGCAGUUAAGCGUGCUUAGGCGAGAGUAGUACUAAGAUGGGUGACCUCCUGGGAAGUCCUUGUGUUGCACCUC